AUGACAUUCAGCUGUGCGUGCGUGCGUGCGUCUGUGUGUGUCCGCGGGAUAUUACAAGAGCUUGUGUUUAGCGGUGGCCGCCAGAGAGAAGUUGUUUCCCCGCAGAACCGCGUCGGACCAGGUGGCGUUCAGGGGCCCGGACACUGGAGGGAGAAAGUUGAACUCUUCUGUGUCAAUGGUCAUCUUGGAUAAAUCCUUGGCUGGGAUCCCGGUGACCCACCCCCAGAUGCCAGGCUGAUUCUCUAACUGUGCCGGUCGCUGCCUUAACGGGCCAACGCUAGUGUCACCGCCAAACCCACCCUGUGGUUUUGUGGGCCGUGGUCAAUGGUGAGCCGCCAGUGGCUUCCAGUCUGGUCAUGUGACUCCUAGCCCUUCCAGUCCUACCCUCUGGCAGUCUCCCUCUAUUUCUGUCAUCUUUUUUUUUUUCUCUACUAUGUCCUUGCUAUCUCUUUCUUCCUCACUGCUGUUUCUGACUGUGGCUACCGACUUUUACUAGAAACAAUCUAUUCCACAAAC